UACGUAUGGGGCAAGCGUUAUCCGGAUUUACUGGGUGUAAAGGGUGCGUAGGUGGCAAGGCAAGUCAGAAGUGAAAGCUCGGGGCUCAACCUCGGAACUGCUUUUGAAACUGCCAGGCUAGAGUGCAGGAGAGGUAAGUGGAAUUCCUAGUGUAGCGGUGAAAUGCGUAGAUAUUAGGAGGAACACCAGCGGCGAAGGCGGCUUACUGGACUGUAACUGACACUGAGGCACGAAAGCGUGGGGAG
rnacentral:rRNA from 1 species